UGGGGAAUAUUGCACAAUGGAGGAAACUCUGAUGCAGCGACGCCGCGUGAAGGAUGAAGUAUUUCGGUAUGUAAACUUCUAUCAGCAGGGAAGAAAAUGACGGUACCUGACUAAGAAGCCCCGGCUAACUACGUGCCAGCAGCCGCGGUAAUACGUAGGGGGCAAGCGUUAUCCGGAUUUACUGGGUGUAAAGGGAGCGUAGACGGCUUUGCAAGCCAGAUGUGAAAGCCCGGGGCUCAACCCCGGGACUGCAUUUGGAACUGUAAUGCUAGAGUGUCGGAGAGGCAAGUGGAAUUCCUAGUGUAGCGGUGAAAUGCGUAGAUAUUAGGAGGAACACCAGUGGCGAAGGCGGCUUGCUGGACGAUGACUGACGUUGAGGCUCGAAAGCGUGGGGAGCAAACAGG
rnacentral:rRNA from 1 species